rnacentral:rRNA from 1 species
AACGAACGCUGGCGGCAUGCCUAACACAUGCAAGUCGAACGAGACCUUCGGGUCUAGUGGCGCACGGGUGCGUAACGCGUGGGAACCUGCCCUUAGGUUCGGAAUAACUCCCCGAAAGGGGUGCUAAUACCGGAUAAUGUCUUCGGACCAAAGAUUUAUCGCCUUUGGAUGGGCCCGCGUUGGAUUAGCUAGUUGGUAGGGUAAAAGCCUACCAAGGCGACGAUCCAUAGCUGGUCUGAGAGGAUGAUCAGCCACACUGGGACUGAGACACGGCCCAGACAGAAACGGGAAGCCGCAGUGGGGGAUAGUGUAAUGUGGGCGUAAGCUUGUUACAGCUAUGCCGCGUGGGAUAAUAAUGCCUGGAGGGGGGAAAGCACUGUCACCUAGGACGGUAACAACAGUACCGGGAGAAUACGCUCGGGCACGCUCCAUG